ensembl:lncRNA
AGAUAGUCUUUUCCCACCCCAGGCGGUGAACUGGAGGCCAGCACAGAGCUGACAUGGGAGCCAGACAGCAGAGCUGAUGUGGGGGCUGGCACAGAGCUGAUGUGGGGCCAGCACAGAUCCUUCUGGCAGGGACAACUCGCUGGGCCCAUGUCUAGCAGGGGAACAGUCAAAGCUUGCUCACCUUGCUGCAGAAUGACCUGAACAGUGACCUUGGAGACCACCAUCCUGAGGGAGGAAAGGAGUUCGUGCCUUGCUGCUACAUUUAAAUGGCUGCAAAGGUAAAUACGUCUGUUACUGCAUACAUCCAUAAUGCACAUAUGACAGCACGCAGUUGGAAAACACAAAGAGAGGUAACAACAAACAAGAAAAGACAUCUCCGAGCUCCUAAACCCAGGCACUCUGCUCCUCUUUGAUCUCCAUGGCUCAGGCUGUAGCUUUUCAGGACAUCUGUAGAUUAAAACUGCUUCUAAAAGUACUUCAGGAUCCACCAAGGAUUUAUUUUCUGGCAGACUGUUAUGUCGUUGCUACCAGAGAC